rnacentral:misc_RNA from 1 species
CACAAUGUCACGAAAGUAAGAUGCUUUGAUAAAAGUCAGGUUACAGUAAAGUAAGUUGGAUAAAUUUGUCAGUGACAUUCAAGACUAAACAUAGCAAUUUGCAAAUUACAACUUGAAUUCACUGUUUCAGUUUAAAUGCUCAAUAAGAGCAAACCAAGCUCCGACUCCGACUUGGGAGCUAAACCUAGUCCUGGACCCGGAGCAAAAGAUGCUCACGGUUCUAUAAAUGAACCCAGAGUAAAACCCAGACCAGGAGCUAAAGAAACUAAAAAAACAAGUGAAAUGAACAUACUAGAAGACGAAUACAGCAAACAUAAGAAAAUAAAUGAAUCUGGAUCCUGGAUAAAAAGAGGAAAAGAAGAUGAAAGAGAACUUGGAGAAAAUGAGAAUGGAGAAACUCCUAAACUUAUAAACUCAAGUUUUACGAUGAAGAUUUUAGAUCCAGUGCUGGCUGAAGGAACUUUUCUUGGUUCAGGCUCAGGGCUAACAUUGGGAACUUCUGUCAAGGGUCCUAAGAAGGAGAGGAAGGGAAAGAUCCAAGUAAAGACGACCUCUCUCCAAGGUGUGAGAGAGCAGAGAGGUCCAACUUGUAAGCUUGAUAUGUACAAUAAGUUUCAACCCUGGGUUCUAUCGACCUAUGGUGACUCCGCUAAAACUAAAACUAUUACAAGAAAGAAAGCCGCAAGGAUUGCUUGUCUGCUCUCCGCGGAAAAGGAAUCCCUGGAUCCUGCUGGGAGUGAAGCUGCAAAGUUCAGGCUAUGGGUGAAAAGUAAAGGAUUACAGCUGGCUCCCUCAACAAACAAGGAUGAAGCUGAGAAUGAGAAUUCUGAACCUUUACUGAUAGUUCCCUCCGGGACGGAUAAGACGUUGGAUGGAAACGUGCAUUUCGUUUACAAGAAGGUUGCCGUGGUGGAACAGUUCUUUGAUAUUAUUUACUCAGUACAUGUUGAAUCCUCAGCAGAUACACAGUUACGAGGGAGAGCUGGGAAACACUGCGGACAAAAGAGAACCUAUAGAGCGGUUGCGGACCAGUAUGCUUUUAUACCUAGAGAAGCUGUAUCUAGAUUUCUUCUAUACUGCACUGAAUGCCAGAGGAAGCAGCCUGUGCCCACCCUGGACACAAAUAUUCGACCAAAUCAGGAGGAGCAAGAACGGAUGAGCACCCCUCAACCUGUGAACUGUUCUCCGGGUACCAUCUUCAGUACAGGAGCUCAAUCCUUUAAGAUAUCAUGUUCUCCUACCAGACAACUAGAGUCUCCUUAUUCACCUAGAAAAGGAGGAAACAAUCAACAAACAUAUCAAAAUCUUGGAUCAAAGACUGGAGAGUUUGGAGAUCAGAGCACGGCGGCCGCGCAUGCGCAUGCAAUCGCUUAUGCCCAGGCGAUAAAUGCGCUACAGUCUUUCUCUAGCCCACGACUUUUUCCACCCUCGCCCUCUGUAUUCCCCUCCUCAUCUGCCUUCCCUCCCUCGACCCAGAUGUUUUCCAACUCUCCUACCUUCCCUCCCUCAUCUUCCUUCUUCCACCCCUCGGCAGUGUACCCCAACACCUCCAUCUUCCCCCCCUCCCCCUCCCCUGACAACCUGGAGAUUGAUCUCAGUCUACCGAUCACAUCAACAUAUCUUAAACGACUCAAGGGGCGUGAAGUACCAACUGCAGAUGACUACUUUGGAUUCGCGAUCAAAAAGGAGGACCCUGAGAGCGGAGAGGAUGCAUCAUCUGACCCAACCUGGGCAAACUUCUCACACAAACAUUCAUUCUCUCAGAGCAACAUUCAGAACUCCUCUCAGAGCAACCUUCAGAACUCCUCCCAGAGCAACCUACCACUCUCUAACCUUGGACAGUAUCUAGCACAGAACAGAAAUGGAUCGUCGAGUCCGAGUAGAUCAGAUAUAACAAGAGACGAAUCAAUUAUUGGAGACGACAACUCGUCCGUUGGAAACAAAGACGACGACGACGACGAGGACGAAGACGACGGUUCGGACGAUAAAUUCGACAACAGUGGAGAUCCAGAGAGACUGAAGGCGUUUAAUAUGUUUGUUCGUCUGUUUGUUGAUGAAAAUCUAGACCGACAUGUUCCAAUCUCAAAACAACCCAAGGAGAAAAUACAGGCUAUAAUAGACUCUUGUACCCGACAGUUCCCUGAGUUUUCUGACCGGGCCCGGAAGCGUAUCCGGACCUAUCUCAAAUCUUGCAGAAGAACUAAACGGUCCAGGGAGCAAGCAGGACUAGAUACUAAUAAUAGGCCCACUCCUCCCCACUUAACAAGCGUGCAUGCAGAACAAAUGCUUGCGCGCGCAUGCGAGAACGAAGCUGAAAAUGCAAAGCGCAUGCGCAUGGGCAUGGAGCCUAUUUCUCAGCCUAUUCCUAUACCUAUGUCCUAUUGCUCUCCAAUGGACGUAGUGUCCGGUGGGUCUCCGGUCACGGUCACGAUGACCAUGAUAGAUAAAACCAAGAUGGAGUACAAACCUGAACAGCUGACAUCCCUUCUAGCUACCAGUCAGCAUUCCAACAUGGUGCCGGUUUCAAGUAUGCCAGUUGUUAACGGAGCAACAGCUGCCAUGUACCGACAAGUUCUACAACAACAACAACAGCCAACAGUUUACCAUUCACAACCACCAGGCCUACUACAAGGACUUGGAAACACUAACGGUCAAGGCCUUGAAAGCUUGAAGAAACCUCCAUUGUUAAAUCACAAACUAAACGGUACUGAAAUGACAGCUGUUCGUCAGCUGAUAACUGGAUAUAGAGAAAGCGCGGCAUUUUUACUGCGCUCAGCAGACGAACUUGAACAUCUGAUUCAGAUUCAACCAAAACUUUAAAUUCACACCCUGUCCCUCUUCCUAACCUUGUCCCUUCACAUUUAAAUCUCAACGUGUCAAUUACAUUUGUUUUUUUAAUUUUCCCCUUUCUGGAAUGUUGAAGACGACCCUGCCCCCGUAUCUUGAUAUAAAAUGUACCCAAAUUAUUUUUAUUAUACUGAACACUUCAUUACCAAAAUAAAUAAUGAUUUUUUAUUUUAACUUUAAUUUUUUAUUUGUUGAACUAAGUUUGAUUAAGCAAUUAUCUAGAGGUUCAAUGUUUGCUCUGCAAUUUUCACAAAGGAACAAACUUUUUUGGUUUCCGUUUUUUUCAUAAUGCUCCGUCCCAUCAAUUUAGAUUACUAUUCAUUUUUCGCAUGUGCAACUGGUGUACAAUAUGCUUACAUCAUGUGCAUAUUUGUACACAUAUCCCCGAAUCCAUCAACUGUUGUACACUAUAUAUAUCCUAUUUCUUGUUGUUGUAUACUGUUGUAUCUAUAUAAACUACUGUGAUUCUGUUAAAGUCUGUUAUCAUUAUAUUACCCUGAGUUUACUUCGAUAUGUAAAAGUUGAAAUGAAGUACAGUGAUAACCAGAACACUCUGGAAUUGGAAGUCGACUUUUCGACUCAAGUUAUUAUUUUAAGUAGUCCAAUAAACAUGAGGCACAGAAAUUGUGCAGUGUAAACAGACCCAUUUCGCAUAAUAUGUGAUUAAACAACUUACGUGUAAAAUUAUUUGUUUUGAAACAACAUCAACUUCUGUAUUCUUUAAAGUCGUAUUCCUAUUCUUCAGUCCUAAUAUCACUUACUGAUACUAUUCCUACUAAAAAUAGUCCUUUAUCUCAUACUAGUCCUACUCUUAAAAAUAAAUAGCGGUGCUAUUGUUACCCACUGAUACUAGUCCUACUGAUACUUGUCCUAGUGAUACUAGUCCCAUACUGGUGCUAGUCAUGCUGAUACUAGUCCUACUGAUACUAGUCCUACUGAUACUAGUCCAACUGAUACUAGUCCAACUGAUACUAGUCCUACUGAUACUAGUCCUACUGAUUCAUGUCCUAGUGAUACUUGUCCUAGUGAUACUAGUCCCAUACUGAUACUAGUCAUGCUGAUACUAGUCCUACUGAUCCAUGUCCUAUUGAUACAUGUCCUACUGAUACUUGUCCUAGUGAUACUAGUCCCAUAAUGAUGCUAGUCAUGCUGAUACUAGUCCUUUCACUGAUACUAGUCUUACUGAUAUUUGUCCUAGUGAUACUUGUCCUACUGAUACUUGUCCCACUGAUACUUGUCCCAUACUAAUGCUAGUCAUGCUGAUACAACACAUUUACAAUUUAUUCCUAUUUAUUUCUUUUAAUUCCUUCCAUUUCUUAUACAGUGUUUUCUAUUGUAUUCCUAUAGAUGUUGAGAAAAUAUUUAUUGUUUUACAAGCCAUCUUUACCAUCCCCCCCCCCCUCCCUCAUUUCCAAUAUGAAACUAUUAACAUUAAAAACAUCGAUGUGAUCCUUCGUCAUGCUUUCUCAUUCCAGACAGAUUAUUGUUUAUAUCUUGGUUUUGUCAAGUAAAUUGUUUUUAUAAAAAUAUACAUAGAAAAUUA